rnacentral:rRNA from 1 species
CAUACCAAUUGUUGCCUCGGCGGAUCAGCCCGCUCCCGGUAAAACGGGACGGCCCGCCAGAGGACCCCUAAACUCUGUUUCUAUAUGUAACUUCUGAGUAAAACCAUAAAUAAAUCAAAACUUUCAACAACGGAUCUCUUGGUUCUGGCAUCGAUGAAGAACGCAGCAAAAUGCGAUAAGUAAUGUGAAUUGCAGAAUUCAGUGAAUCAUCGAAUCUUUGAACGCACAUUGCGCCCGCCAGUAUUCUGGCGGGCAUGCCUGUUCGAGCGUCAUUUCAACCCUCAAGCCCAGCUUGGUGUUGGGACUCGCGAGUCAAAUCGCGUUCCCCAAAUUGAUUGGCGGUCACGUCGAGCUUCCAUAGCGUAGUAGUAAAACCCUCGUUACUGGUAAUCGUCGCGGCCACGCCGUUAAACCCCAACUUCUGAAUGUUGACCUCGGAUCAGGUA